rnacentral:rRNA from 1 species
GACGAACGCUGGCGGCGUGCUUAACACAUGCAAGUCGAACGGUGAAGGGGUCUGCUUUUGUGGGCCCUGGAUGAGUGGCGAACGGGUGAGUAACACGUGAGUAACCUGCCCCCUUCUUCUGGAUAACCGCAUGAAAGUGUGGCUAAUACGGGAUAUUCUGGGUCUGUCGCAUGAUGGGUCUGGGAAAGAUUGCGCCUUUGGGUGUUUUUGGUGGGGGAUGGGCUCGCGGCCUAUCAGCUUGUUGGUGGGGUGAUGGCCUACCAAGGCGGUGACGGGUAGCCGGCCUGAGAGGGUGGACGGUCACACUGGGACUGAGACACGGCCCAGACCCCUACGGGAGGCAGCAGUGGGGAAUAUUGCACAAUGGGCGCAAGCCUGAUGCAGCGACGCCGCGUGAGGGAUGGAGGCCUUCGGGUUGUAAACCUCUUUCGCCAGUGAAGCAGGCCUGCUCCUUGUGGGUGGGUUGACGGUAGCUGGAUAAGAAGCGCCGGCUAACUACGUG